UACGUAGGGUGCGAGCGUUAAUCGGAAUUACUGGGCGUAAAGAGUGCGCAGGUGGCCGCGCAAGUCGGGUGUGAAAUCCCCGAGCUUAACUUGGGAAUUGCGCUCGAAACUACGUGGCUCGAGUGUGGCAGAGGAAGGUGGAAUUCCACGUGUAGCGGUGAAAUGCGUAGAGAUGUGGAGGAACACCGAUGGCGAAGGCAGCCUUCUGGGCCAACACUGACGCUCAUGCACGAAAGCGUGGGGAGCAAACAGG
rnacentral:rRNA from 1 species